UACGUAGGGUGCAAGCGUUGUCCGGAAUUAUUGGGCGUAAAGAGCUCGUAGGCGGUUUGUCGCGUCUGCUGUGAAAACCUAAGGCUCAACCUUGGGCUUGCAGUGGGUACGGGCAGACUAGAGUGCGGUAGGGGUGACUGGAAUUCCUGGUGUAGCGGUGGAAUGCGCAGAUAUCAGGAGGAACACCGAUGGCGAAGGCAGGUCACUGGGCCGCAACUGACGCUGGAGGA
rnacentral:rRNA from 1 species